rnacentral:rRNA from 1 species
AGAGCGAACGCUGGCGGCAGGCUUAACACAUGCAAGUCGAGCGCUCGUAGCAAUACGAGAGCGGCAGACGGGAGAGUAACACGUGGGAACGUACCCUUCGGUUCGGAACAACCCAGGGAAACUUGGGCUAAAUACCGGAUACGUCCGUAAGGAGAAAGAUUUAUCGCCGAAGGAUCGGCCCGCGUCUGAUUAGCUAGUUGGUGAGGUAACGGCUCACCAAGGCGACGAUCAGUAGCUGGUCUGAGAGGAUGAUCAGCCUCACUGGGACUGAGACACGGCCCAGACUCCUACGGGAGGCAGCAGUGGGAAUAUUGGACAAUGGGCGCAAGCCUGAUCCAGCCAUGCCGCGUGGGUGAUGAAGGCCCUAGGGUUGUAAAGCCCUUUACGGCGGGGAAGAUAAUGACGGUACCGCAGAAGAAGCCCGGCUAACUUCGCGCCAGCAGCCGC